AGAGGACUCUCCCUCUCUUCUUCAUCUUUUUCAAUUGAUUCUUGAGUUUAAGCUCAAUUUCUCUUGAAUUAAAAGCACUAUAAAUUUUAUCUAGUCAUAUACAUCCAUAAGAAUAUCACCUUAAGCAAAACCCCUUUCAUUUAAGUGGUUGACAAGCAAAAAAAGGAAGAUUUGGGGCUGGCUAAGGUGAUCUUGGUGGAGCUUAUGGUGGACAAGCUAGAGG
rnacentral:misc_RNA from 1 species